ACCCGCUGAACUUAAGCAUAUCAAUAAGCGCAGGAAAAGAAACUAACUAGGAUGCCUUCAGUAGCGGCGAGCGAAGCAGGCAUAGCUCAAAUUUGUAAUCUGGCUGUUUUACAGUCCGAGUUGUAAUUUCUAGAGGCGAGUUCGGUGGCAGCCCUGGUUCAAGUCCGCUGGAACGCGGCGUCAUGGAGGGUGAGAAUCCCGUGAAUGAUCAGGUGUCUGUUGCUAUGUGAACCGUUUUCGAAGAGUCGAGUUGUUUGGGAAUGCAGCUCUAAAUGGGAGGUAAAUUUCUUCUAAAGCUAAAUAUUGGCCAGAGACCGAUAGCGAACAAGUAGAGUGAUCGAAAGAUGAAAAGAACUUUGAAAAGAGAGUUAAACAGUACGUGAAAUUGUUGAAAGGGAAGCGCUUGAGAUCAGACUUCCUGCGCAGACUAUCCUUGCUUCUGCUUGGGUCAAUAGUCUGUGCGUGGAGGCCAGCAUCAGUUUUGACGGUCGGAUAAAGGUUUGGGGAAGGUGGCUCACCUCGGUGAGUGUUAUAGCCCCAGAUGCAAUACGGCCAGUUGGGACUGAGGACCGCGGCUUUGCCUAGGAUGCUGGCGUAAUGGUCUUAAGCGACCCGUCUUGAAACACGG
rnacentral:rRNA from 1 species